GAUGAAGACGUAGCGAAAUGCGAUACUUGGUGUGAAUUGCAGAAUCCCGAGAACCAUCGAGUCUUUGAACGCAAGUUGCGCCUCAAGCCAUUAGGUUGAGGGCACGUCUGCCUGGGCGUCACAUAUCGUUGCCUGAUGCCAGUUUCCUCGUGAUGGGUGACUGUGCAGGGCGAAUGAUGGCUUCCCGUGAGCAUUGUUGCCUCAUGGUUGGUUGAAAAUUGAGUCCUUGGUAGGGAGCGCCGUGAUAGAUGGUGGUUGAGUGACGAACGAGACCCAAUCAUGUGAGACCCCUACCGAAUUUGGCCUUCAUGACCCACAUGCGUCUUUGGAACGCUCAUGACGAGACCUCAGGUCAGGCGGGGCUACCCGCUGAGUUUAAGCAUAUCAAUAAGCGGAGGA
rnacentral:misc_RNA from 1 species